CUCUAUGGCCAUACUACUCUGUACUCGCCUAAUCUCGUCUAAUGUUGGAAGCUAAGCAGGGUUGGGCCUGGUUAGUACUUAGAUGAGAGAAAAGCGGCUACCACACGUU
rnacentral:rRNA from 1 species